rnacentral:rRNA from 1 species
AUUGAACGCUGGCGGCAGGCCUAACACAUGCAAGUCGAACGAGUGGCGGACGGGUGAGUCAUGUCUGGGAAACUGCCUGAUGGAGGGGGAUAACUACUGGAAACGGUCGCUAAUCCCGCAUACUAUCGGAUGUGCCCAGAUGGGAUUAGCAAGGAGGUGGGGUAACGUCUCCCCAGGGCGACGCUCCCUAGCUGGUCGGAGAGGAUGACCAGCCACACUGGGACUGAGACCCUGUCCAGACACCUGCGGGAGGCAGCAGUGGGGAAUAUUGCACAAUGGGCGCAAGCCUGAUUCAGCCAUGCGGCGUGUAUGAAGAAGGCCUUCGGGUUUUAAAGUACUUUCAGCGGGGAGGCGUUACCCGCAGAAGAAGCACCGGCUAACUCCGUGCCAGCAGCCGCGGUAAUUC